UACAGAGGUCUCAAGCGUUGUUCGGAUUCAUUGGGCGUAAAGGGUGUGUAGGUGGCGCGCUAAGUCGGGUGUGAAAUUUCGGAGCUUAACUCCGAAACUGGCAUUCGAUACUGGCGUGCUUGAGGACUGGAGAGGAGACUGGAAUUCAUGGUGUAGCAGUGAAAUGCGUAGAGAUCAUGAGGAAGACCAGUGGCGAAGGCGGGUCUCUGGACAGUUCCUGACACUGAGACACGAAGGCCAGGGGAGCAAACGGG
rnacentral:rRNA from 1 species